UGCCAGCGCCCCUCUCCUCACCACCCAGCUCCUCUUACCCCUCCACGUUCCCUCCAAGUUCCCUCCCCACUGCCCCCGGCACUGUGUUUACAGUGGGGGCCCAGGAAGAUGAUAAGAGUCUGGGGCAGGCAGCAGGCAGAGAGAGAAGCUGGCAAAGAAGGUCUGUGAGGUCCGCAGAGCAGAUGCCACAAGCAAAGGCCCUGGGGCCCCUGGGGCCUGCCAUCCCUCAGCUCUGUGAUCUCAGUGCCUCCUGGGACAUUUGGAAGUGGCAGGCGCUGGAGGACAUCCCCUAGCAAAAUGUAGCAGUCACCUCAAGGAUUAGUUUCAGGCUGCUUCUGCCCGCCAGAUAUCAGUGGACCCCAGAGCUACUGGGAGCUCCCCGUCUCUGACCAUUGCCCUGACACUUGCCUCAGAGGGGACAUGAGGUUACUAGGAUGGGACAGGUCACUCUGCCUUCUCAUUCUUCCUGGGUCAACCCACCUGAGUUUAAAGGCCUCUGUUACCUGGCUUAGGAGCCCACCUUACUCCAGUGUGACCUCAUCUGUCCAAACACUCAUCUUCUCUAGAAGGGAAGGUCAACUUCUCCAGAUACAAGCUAACUCACAUAUAGAUCGGUACAUCUACUGAGAGCUGAUUAUUGCUAUGGGCUUGCCAUUCAUGGAAGACUCACCAGGGGGUGGAAAGAUGGAAUUAACUAACAAACAGGUGAUUCAGCAAGUUACAUCAUGGUCAUGAGAUGAUUUCUGGAAAUUGCAGCAAGAAAAUGACACGGUCCUACAGCGUUUUUGAGCUCUUUUUGUCCGGAAUUCAUGCCGUUUCCUGUUACUGACGGAGAAUAAAGAGCGAUCUGUCUGUGUCCCCAGUG